rnacentral:rRNA from 1 species
GUGGGGAAUAUUGGGCAAUGGGCGCAAGCCUGACCCAGCAACGCCGCGUGAGGGAAGAAGGUUUUCGGAUUGUAAACCUCUGUCGCAAGGGACGAAAGCAAUGACGGUACCUUGUGAGGAAGCCCCGGCUAACUACGUGCCAGCAGCCGCGGUAAUACGUAGGGGGCGAGCGUUGUCCGGAAUUACUGGGCGUAAAGGGUGCGUAGGCGGUUGCUUAAGUUGGAUGUGAAAUACCCGGGCUUAACUUGGGGGGUGCAUUCAAAACUGGGCGACUAGAGUUCAGGAGAGGGAAGCGGAAUUCCUAGUGUAGCGGUGAAAUGCGUAGAUAUUAGGAGGAACACCAGUGGCGAAGGCGGCUUUCUGGACUGACACUGACGCUGAGGCACGAAAGCGUGGGGAGCAAACAGGAUUAGAAACCCCAGUAGUCC